ensembl:lncRNA
AUGGAUCUGCUUCUGUAUCCUGUCCCUCUGCUGAGUGUGUUUCUCCUCAUUCCAACAGUUUCAGCCCAAUCUGCCAUCAAUCUGACCAACCAGACAGAGGUUCCCAUGGUGACCUCACCCACAACACUGUCAUCCAACACUAUGCAUGUGGCUGGCAGCGCAACAACCCCAACUACAGCCCAGCCAAUGACUGAUGUGACAUCAUCCCCAGUACUCUCACCGCCAGGGAACAACCCUCUUGUGACAACCCUCAGUGCCCUGCAGUCAAAUCAAUCAACAGCCUCACCUGGAAAUGCCAGCUGUGACAAUAAGUCACCCACAUCCUCACCUCGACUAUCGUGUCCUAACGUCAGAAGCUCUGCUCAGGCUAAAAUACCUAGUACCCCCUCACAAGACACUGCUGCUGGACCAGUCUUAGGAUCAACGGCUGCUGCAACAGCAACCACUUCGACCUCUGUGACUUCCCCUGAAGGACCCAAAGGGACACACACAGACAUCCCUCCCACUCAGUCACCGGGCAAGAGCCUCACCAUGCUUGCCUUUGGUGUCAUGACUUUAAUCCUCAUUCUCAUCAUUAUCAUGGUGGUUUUAGUAACAGUGGUCAACCUAAAAGACAAGUGCAGCAACUCCAAGGAGGAAGGUAAAAAGAGCAGUGAUUCUGUGGUGUCUGAAAGCAAUGUCACGUUUAGUGGAGAAAAAGAGAGCAUCACUUUGAUCUCCAUGAAGACCAUUAACACAGAAACUGACACAGACUCCCCCCAGGUCUCCUCCAUUCACAGUACAACACUGGACUAUGAGGAGCAGGAGCAAAACAGGGACCUAUUGAACAACAAGGUGGGCUCAGGAAAAUACUCUUCACCAGCACUAACUGCAAUGGAUACAACCACUUCUUAUAGAGAAUAG